GUGCAGCCUCUGCAGAACUGGAGAGAGCCGAGUGGCCCCGACCUCGACCAUCAGCUCUCUGCCUUGGCCCCAGUCCUGGCUGCUGCAGCCCCUCUUGCACAAACCCUCUGGUCCUCUGUCCUGGAGGGGACUCCGGCCUGGGAGCAGCAGAAGCUCUGCCUGUGGAGCCAUGGACAGCCGGUCAUUGAACCAGGCCCCAACACAGUGCCAGGUGCGGCAAAGCGCAGAACCAGAGGCAGAAUUUGAAAUCAAGACGUUUGGAGCAAAGCCAUCCGAUGCAGCCUCCAAGUGAAGCCAGAAUUCGACAGGCAGCCAGGUCGAUGGGCAAGUCGAGUCCUGUCAGGUCAAGGAGGCCAAUUUUGACCCACCUGUUGGCCAUCCCACCGAGCAUUUCCUGGGCCCAGUCAUGUCUGCAGGAAGGAGAAAGAUAAGGGGGACAAGCAGGAGAACAAGAGGGCAGAGCACCUCGCUUCUUGGGAUACCAGGACACCAGCUGUGGCCCCUUCUCCCUCCUGCGAGAAGUCUAUGUGACCCCUUUAAAUAAACCUGCUUCAUCGGC